GCCGCCGCGCGUCGUCACGCGCAAUGGAGGCUGUGGUGAGGGCGGGGCCCGGGGACUUAAGUAGUGAAGUUGGACCGCCGUCUCCUCAAGUCUCGCGUGAUCACGUGGUCGGCACCCAGGCGGAAGUCUCCGGCACCUGCUUUGGGAUGAGGAACUUGCUAAGUAUUGCUGGAAAAAGCAGAUGGAUCUUACGGCAGCUCUGGAGGCAGAAGUUGUAGGCAUGCUGAACUCGACGUUUACGUGAUUGGCAAAUCUGGAAGGCACUUCCCGGUCAGAGCCAAGUUCAAGAUGGCAGAAGAAACAGUGUGGGUGACCAGAAGCUAUGAAAGAAAAAGAAUCUAGGGUUCAGCUUCUUUGGGGAGGAAGUGGAAGAGCCUCAAUAACAUACAAAAGGAGGCCUGGCAGUCUUUAAGAGCAUCCAACUCUGAGCAGAGGAUUUGCCUCGGCAGAAGUCACUGCAUGUGCUUCAGACCCUUUGACAUAACACUAUCUGACUACGGUAGCCUGGUAUCCUAGCAAUAAAACCCAUGACCUGAGAAAUGGAGUGCAUUCUGCCUGCUCAGGUCAGAGUGCUAUGUGAACACACGGUAAAUACUGUGAAAUAGAGGUUGUAGAUUGGCAGAAAGGAAUAAAAGAGAUCAGCACUUAGCACCUAAUAAAACAUCAAAGACAGCCACCUGGAGCAAGAUCAUCAAUUUCCUUUGGAAGAUGAAUUUUCUUAAUAGCAUUUUAUAUUUUUUAAAAAAUGCUUUUGGCAUGUUUUUUGGGUGAACGGCAUAUAUAAAUGACAGAGCCCUUAGAAACAGCACAUAUGCUUUAGGGAAGCAUGUAGAACGCUGGAGAGAACACAGACUAAUAGGAUAUCUGGGUUUGACCUGCAGCUCUCCUAAGUGCAGAGAUCCCACACCCAAGUCCUUUUUGUUUUCUCCAGGUCUCAGUUCCUCAUGUGUGAAGUGGGGAGUUGGGGGGGGGGUGGAAAAGGGUGGGCUGGGUAAUGCCAGGCAUCGUCCCUUACCGCUAUUUAACUCUAUAAAUCUAUGGCUAGUUCUACUGUAUUUGGAAGGCAAACUUAUGGUUUGAUUUUCAUUUGAGGAUUGUUAUUAGAUUAUUUGAGGGAAAAGAGUCAGAACUUAGUUCUGUGACGAUCACCAUUGCAGCAUCGUCGUCGUUCGUCAGAUGUAACAGGAAACGUUUGUUGAUAACUCUGAGCCAAGUACUGUGCUAAGUGCUUUAUGCAGAUUCUCUCACUGCGUCUUCAUACAGUCCCUUGAGGUCAUAAUUAUUACGUUGCACAAAUGAGGAAACUAAGGCUUCGGGAGGUAAGGUCAGCUGCCCAGGGUCAUAGCUAGAAAGUGGCAGAGCCAAGAACUGGACCCAGCAGUCUGACUCCUAGAUGUUCUUAACCCGUUUGUCUGAGUCAUAACCACACAGUCCUCAAACCUCAAGACAGGUUUGCAGGGUGACAGGGGUGGAGAAAAAGGAAGCUGUAAGAAACCCCAUAAAGCAACUCACUGUGGAUAAACCGUGUGACUCUGACUUCAUUAUGUAACUGAAACAGCCCUUAGCUAUCUGAGUUUCCCCAAAUAAACAGUUCCAAUUUCCUUUAUUGGUCUGGGCAGGACUUUAUAAUCUCAGAGCGUGAGGACAUACACACCCGCUCUCCAAGGAAAACAUAACAGAGUGAAGUAUUUGUUUUGCUCUGUUUCACAAAUGUAACAUAUUUCAAUGGGUCUUUCUAAAGAGUAAUACUUUGGAAAAUUAAUUGAAAAAAUUGCAGUUUUUUAGGAAAGGAAUUUAAGAUAUAUGUAGUAGUAAAAAUUACAUUAUUUGAAAAUGAAUCCAUUCAAUUUUUUAAAAUUGUGUACCACAGAUGUAAUUAUAUAGCUGUCACUUACUGAACACUUAUUACAGGCCAGAGACUGUGCUAAACACUUAAAAACAUUACUAAUUCCAUUCUUAAUGAGCUAGGUGUUAAUAACCCUAUUUUAUAAAAGAGGAAACUUGAGAUUUCUCUGAAAGGUUUAAGUAAAUUGCCUGAGGUCACACAGCCAUUAACUUGUAGUACUGGGAAUAAAACUCAUUAUCUAACUGACUCCAAAUUAUGUCCUACACUCCUCUCAACAUAUUGCUAUAUAUUUAGAUCAUUACAAAGUAUUUAGAGGAGUUUCUUAACUUAAUUCAAUAGCAACCUGAACAACAGUUUUAUCUAAUUACCCUUAUUUACACAUUGUUGGAACACUGAAAAUCAUAACUUUCCACAAAACUGACCCCCCUCUUCUCACCCCACCAAAGCGUAUUCACAGCAAAGUCUAUGAAAGCAACAUUCUCUCUUGAGUUCUAGCAUCAGCUAAUGGAUGUGUAGGGCUAGUGGACAGAUAGGGAAGUACAAUUUUGAAAGCUAGUAUAAUUUAAUUCAUGUUAAUGAACUAAUGAGCUCACACAUUAUGUCAUCGCCCUUGAUGAAGCUGAGAAAACUUAAUAUUAAAAUUCAGAUUUCUAUUUUCGAUAAAAGGGGAAUCCUACUGGAAUUGUUUUCUCUUCACCCGAUCUAAUGAGAACUGGAAUUCCAGCAAAGAAAGCUACCUAUGCAGAACAGAAUGUUUUGUUUCCUGGCAGACAACCUGGGAAAGCACAGAAACUUGUUCUGGUGCCUUCUAGGAUUAAAGGAAAGCUCUUGGGAUUAGGAUGGGCGGGGUCCUGGGAGAGCACAGAUAGAGGGACCCUGCUGGUGGGAGCCAUGUUGGAAUCCAGUGGCAGCUUGUUAGCCUUUUGAUGGCUUGAUUGGGAUAAGCCUGCUGUGACUGCAGGCUUGAGGUGCCGACAAAGCCCGGGAUGCCAGCCUGCUGGCUCACGCUGCCCUGCAGUCCGACCAUCCUACCUGUUGGGGCUAGGGGUGCAGGGCCACUGCAGGCGGGAGCAGACGUGCAGUGGGUCAGUCCUCUUUCACUGUAAAUAGAGGCGUGAGGAUUGUGAAAAAUGGCCUAUAAAAGGCACCUUCCCAAAGCUAUCUCAAGACUAAGAAGAGCUCAGAAAAGGGACGGUUACUAACAGAUCAUCGUCAAUUCUCUGGCUUCAUGGAUGGAGAGGGCAGGGGCUGGGCACAGAGAAUACCAGCAAUGGUAAGAACUCGCAUUCUGACUGGAAGUCAGAUCCUGUACAUCUCAAGUGUCCAGAAAAGGGUGCUAUUAAUUUCCUGAACAGAUACAGAAGUAUACCAUUGGCCAGAAGUAGAAUAAGAAGCUCUUGGGGGGAUUUCAUGUCUAAAAAUAUACAACCAUGACAGCAAAAGCAGUAAUUGAGUCGGGGGGUAGGUUUAAGUGAGAAAUAUCCCCAAAUAUCCUUAUGCUGUCCUGUAUUUUAAAAAUCAUUCACAAAUAAGGUUCCAGUAAUCUAGAAAUAUGUAUGUAGUAUAUAGGCUGCAUUUACUUGGCCUUGAGCCUACUUAACACUACCCCGCUGGGAAGCAUUCAGGGAAGUGGUUGCUAAGGACUAUUUACUCCAUGCCCUGCAUCUGCUCCCUUUUUAUUCUGGUAACAAUCUUUUUUUUUUUUUUCUUUUUUCUUCCUCUUUGAGAAAUACUCUUCCCCAGCACUGCAUGUCAUCUUGGUGGUCAUGUCAGUCAAAAUGCCCUGUCCUCCCUUUUACUCUUGGGAAGUGGCACAAGGACAGAAAAUGGCCUGUGAUGGUUUGUCCCAAAGGCUGCAGCCUGAGGAGACAUCCACAGUUCCUGCUAUCAAGAGCUAUCCUUUCUGAAGCCUGCUUGCUCCUUCAGUUCUAGGAGCUACCUAUAUCUUUCCAACAAUUUAUUUCUUUUUGCUAAAAGAAGCCAGUCAGUCUUUGCUGCUUAUAAAGCCCCUCACAUGGUACUUUUAAAUAUUUGAGAGAAAGAACUUUGAAACAAAUUAGGUAUGUGUGUACACACUGAGAAAACUGCAAAUCUCUGUUCUCAUAGUGGAAGUAACUUUGAGUUUGUGUCUGUUUUGUGUCAUCUACUAAGAGGCAGCUGUGAUACGGAGAAAAAAGACCCCUGGAUGUGAUGAGCCACGUCACUCCCAGUCCUUAAUUUUCUUAUCUGUGGAAUGAAGAGGUUUGACUAAGUUAUCCCCAAGGUCCUUUCCAGCUUGAAAAUCCAAUUAUUCCAUAAUGAAGUGAUCUGAAUACAUGCUUAGUAUAUUGCAGAGCUAAAAAUUCCAGUAAGCAUAAACCUGAGGUCUUUUCUCACGUCAAGCCUCUAGCGGGUUAAACAGUAAUUUUCUCCCUGUUACCUCAGUUCUCUUCUCAAGGGCAUCCGUGCCAAAGGAGAAUUGAGGGUUUCUCCUUUCUACCAUCAAUUCACAUCGGCCUCACAGCUGAGGCAGAAAUCACAGUGCUAUCACCAGGAGAAUACAGUGCUGAUUUCAGGGAAAUGAAUAAGCAAGCUCAGAGAGGAAGACUUUAUGUUAAAAAUUCUGUCAGUUUAGAAAUAGGGGGUGGCAAAUCCAGCCUCAAACACAGAGGUCCAAUUGUCUCUUCAGUUUGCACUGCUACACCCAGUGUCUGACAAGAAAGCCCUGGUGUGUGUCCACUGCCUGGCCUGCCGGGGGAGUUGGCCAGAUCGUAUUGCUUCUUGGCUUCACGUUGUUUUACAUUUAGGGUAACACAGCCGCUCCAUGCUCAGAACAGGAAAUGAAGACUCCAAACAUACUGUUAGGAUUUAAUAGUGAGAAUGGAAAAAAGAAUAUCUGCAUGAGAGAAAGACUUUAACCAACAGUUUUUCCAAACCUCUCUUUCUUUUCUUUUUUUUUUUUUUUCUGGCCCAAAUACCCACUUUUUUAACAGAUGAGCAAAGUUUAUUAUAAACAAGAAGAAAAGUGAUUUAAAGGGUCACAGGAUCAUGGGCUUAUUGCCUGCCCCUGGGGUCACCCAGACUUACUCUAAGAAAUAAAGCUAUUAGAGCUGGUUUGAUUACUCCUUAGUUUUGUCAUUUCACCGAAUCUCACUGGACCCAUGAGGAAAGUCAUUGCCUUCAGGCUCACUCAAGCACAGAAGCACCCCUGCUAGCUGUGAGCAGGCCAGCUAGGGCUGGUAUACUGUCUCCUUUGUUUAAAUUAAACAUCCCUUCCCUUACUUUUUGUCCUUUUGGAUUUCAGUCCUUUUGGACCUUCAUGUCCUGGCUGGAUCUUCAGUCUGAUCAGAGGCCCCUUCCCCAUCUCCAGAUCCUGGCUCUGAACCUGGAAUGUUAUGAUUGACAGGCCUUGCACAGGGUGACUGGAAUCAUAAAUCUAACUCUCGGCCUGUACUGUACACAUGAUUGGCCAUAAACUGGCUCUUUUACCUAUACUUGGGGCACAGACAUCUCUUCAAAACCCGGAAGCCUUCUAGGAUCUGGAAAAGUAUAGCUUCCAACACCAGAGAAAACUUUAAAGAGUCAGAAAAUAAUACAGAAUCAUAAGCUUCCUUGGAAGUCUGCUUAGCAGCCCAGCUGAGAAGAAGAAUGCAUAGGUUUAUGGAAGAAGUGUGAUAGUAAGAGAGUAGAAAGAUGGAGUGAACUGGGUCAUGCAUGUUUGUUAAGUACUUUGCUCAAAUAUUUUUGCUUUUCUGGUCCCCCAUUCCCCCAUCCCUCCCCAUCAUCAUUCCUAUCACAUAACAAAAACCAGCACUUCAUAGGGAAAGAGAAUGUGGAACUUUGAUCCCAGCUCUUUCACAACCAUGUGGCGGUUUUCACAGAAGAGAAAGCUCUGCCUACCUGCGUUUUUGUCAGGCAGUCGGUUUAUCCUCCACACAAUGGAGUUGAAGGCAUGCUCAUACUUCGCAGUCCCCAGAGUUACUCUCAUGACAGGCUCAGAGCCAGACAAGCUACUUGAGCCAAAACUUGCCCCCCGGUUCACUUUGGCUUUCAAAGACUUUUCCCCCAGGACACUUUCCCUGCGCAAGUUUUUCACCCACUCACUGGGCACAGGGUAGCGAACCAUCACAUUCUCACAGGGAACCUGAGUGAGAGGAUCACAGUUAGAGGAGAAGCCAGAUGACAUCCUCAGCCAGCUCUGCACCUCCACCUCUGCCCCGCUGAUGCUUGCCACAGUCCUGAGUGUGAAAGGCAAGGUCUUCUCGGCAAAUACUGUCCUGAACCGCAUUAGCUCAAGUCGGCAGGCGUCCAAAGGGUUGAACAGAAUAACCCGUGAGCUGUUGAAUACAUCCUCAUCCACACACCUGUGAAAAUGGCACUCGUGGAGCUUGAUCCACUUUGUGGUGGUGGUGGGCAUGAUGUCUUGCCGGGAAACGAUUUCGUUCCCUUUGACGAGGACGUCAUUGAGACCCAAGCGGCACUCGGCAAGGCCAGAGAGGAAACUCAGGAUGUGGACCCGUGUCAAGACACGGUGCUGGAGAAUCUGGUUGUCUCCUCUGCUCACAAGGCCAGAGAAUUCAUCUCGGACAUCCACUACAAUCUCCUCUUCAAGGUAGUUCAAGCCAACUGUGCACAAGUCCAUUGACAACACCGGCAGGUCCAUGAGACGGUCCUGAACUGCACGGAUGAAGCUCAGGAAGUCAUCGUAAUUGGUGGUGCCCAGCUUAAUCACUUGUUCCCUCUCGGCCACGUGGGCCACGGCAGGUUUAGGCUGGUAUUUCUUCUUCUCCUUGUAGGUGACGCGGUCUAUCCGCAAGCUGUGGAUCCUGCCAUUCUCAUCAUAGUUUUGGAGCCGGGGCUCUGAAAUCUCAUGGCAGAUCUCCAGCUUGAACUCACGGAAUGGCUUUUCUAAGCCCUUCUCAUAAUACAGCUGCAGAUACCCGCUGUCUGUCAGUUUGAUGUAGAUGGGUCCCCAGUGCCUAGAGGACAUGAUGUUUUUCUUCUCAGGGAUCCUAAGCAUCAUGGGCCACCCAUCCCUGGGCUGGGCCAGUGCGGAACCUGGUGGGUGGUCAUCUAGCUCAAUCCAGGCUAUUGGGUCAUCAUCAGGGAGGGUCGUACUCCCUAAGUGAUCGGGAUCCUCAAUUUGGAGUCGUUUGAGUUUUU